rnacentral:lncRNA from 1 species
UGACCUCAAGGUCCUUCUUUCAGGGAUCUUGCCAGGAAGUUCAGUUGGCAGGAUGGCAGCAGCAGACACACAGGGUGGUUAAGAACAACAAACACAGGCAAACCACUUCAAUAGAACAUGGCUGGCGGCCAUAUGGACAUAUAUGAAUCCAACAAUUAAUUCAGCAAAGAAAGCUGCUUGUGGCAAGUUUUGAAUGUGCCAUUCCAGGUAGUGCUUUGAUGAUAAAUGAGGAGAAGAUUGCAAAGAAAAUGACAGCAACAUUUAUAAAAGGGGAAAUGAAAUACUCCAUGGCCAUCCAAAGACCUGAGAAGUAUACAUUAACAAUUCUGUG